rnacentral:rRNA from 1 species
CUAUUAUUCUUUAUUUUAAAAAUUUUAUUAUUUAAGUAGUAAGAGCUAAAUAAUANUUAGUGAUAUUUAAUUUAGAUUGUGCUUGAAACUUAAAAGGCUUGGCGGUAUUAUAUAUCCUUCCAGGGGAGCUUGCUUAUUAAUUUGAUAUUCCUCAAUUUAUACUUACUUUUUCUUGAAUAAUUACAGUUUGUGUAUUGCUGUCGUCAGUUUAUUUUGUAAAAAUUUUGGAAAAAACUUUAUAAUGGAUGGAUUAUGAUGUCAAGUCAAAAUGCAGCUUAUGAAAAAGGUUUAAAAAGUGAGCUACAGUUUGUAAUAUUUAAUGUCAUUAGUUUAUGUAAUUAAAUUAUGAAGUUGGGCUUGGUAGUAAUAAAAUAUUUAAAUAGUGUGUUUUUGUGAAUUGGGUUUUAUAAGCGU